ensembl:misc_RNA Metazoa_SRP Metazoan signal recognition particle RNA
GCCGGGUGUGGUGGUGCACGCCUGUAAUCCCAGCUACUCAGGAGGCUGAGGCAGGAGAAUCACUUGAACCUGGGAGGCAGAAGUUGCAGUGAUCUGAGAUCAUGGCACUGCACUCCAGCCUGGGUGACAGAGUGAGACUCUGUCUCAA